rnacentral:rRNA from 1 species
UACGUAGGGGGCAAGCGUUGUCCGGAAUUAUUGGGCGUAAAGCGCGUGUAGGCGGUCCGGUAAGUCGGCUGUGAAAGUCCGGGGCUCAACUCCGGAUCUGCGGUGGGUACGGGCAGACUAGAGUGCGGUAGGGGAGACGUGGAAUUCCUGGUGUAGCGGUGAAAUGCGCAGAUAUCAGGAGGAACACCGGUGGCGAAGGCGGGUCUCUGGGCCGGUAACUGACGCUGGAGGAGCGAAAGCGUGGGGAGCGAACAGG